UGAUGGAAAUAUACAGAAUCGAGCAAAGCGUUAAAGCGUUAACCCAUGCGCCUUUUGCUGCAAACGAAUCUCUAAAAAUCGGAUUAUUUAUUAAACAAAUCCUAAAAAAUCGUCAACUUAUAAAUGGUUUCAAAGAAAAAACGUCAAGCGUCAAAUGGCCAACUUUUGGACAAAAGCUCGUUAAAAUGGCGUAAAAUCGUCUUGUCUGGCAGCCCUGGUGACUAUAAAAAUUCAAGUAAUGUUUUCUUAAUUUAAAAUAUAAAAUCUAUAUACAAUACAUGGAGCUCCAGUAAAAGUAA